rnacentral:tRNA from 1 species
GCUGUGGCUCAGUGGAAGAGCAUCUGCUUGACAUGCAGAAAGUCCCAGGUUCAAACCUUAACAUCUCCA